GAUUUAAGGAAGAUGGGUAAGGAAAAGGUUCACAUCAGUAUUGUGGUCAUUGGCCAUGUCGACUCUGGGAAAUCCACUACCACUGGUCACCUGAUUUACAAGCUUGGAGGCAUUGACAAGCGUGUUAUUGAGAGGUUUGAGAAGGAAGCUGCUGAGAUGAACAAGAGGUCUUUCAAGUAUGCCUGGGUGCUGGACAAACUUAAGGCUGAGCGUGAAAGAGGAAUCACCAUUGAUAUUGCUUUGUGGAAGUUUGAAACAACAAAGUAUUAUUGCACAGUUAUUGAUGCGCCUGGACAUAGGGAUUUCAUUAAGAAUAUGAUUACUGGGACAUCCCAAGCUGACUGUGCUGUUCUUAUCAUUGAUUCGACCACUGGUGGUUUUGAAGCUGGUAUUUCCAAGGAUGGACAGACUCGUGAACAUGCUCUGCUUUCAUUCACCCUUGGUGUGAAACAGAUGAUUUGCUGCUGUAACAAAGUAAAUUAUGUCUCGACUUUUAAGGCCCCUUUCAUUUUAUUAGAUUAUUUUAUUUUAAUUAAUGUUCUUGUCCCAUUUUGCAACAGAUGGAUGCUACUACACCCAAGUAUUCCAAGGCCAGGUAUGAUGAAAUUGUGAAGGAAGUCUCUUCCUACUUGAAGAAAGUAGGAUACAACCCUGACAAGAUUCCUUUUGUUCCUAUCUCUGGUUUUGAGGGAGACAACAUGAUUGAGAGGUCCACAAACCUUGACUGGUACAAGGGUCCAACUCUGCUUGAUGCACUUGACCAGAUUAGUGAGCCCAAGAGGCCCUCUGACAAGCCCCUCAGGCUUCCCCUUCAGGAUGUGUACAAGAUUGGAGGUAUUGGAACUGUGCCAGUGGGACGUGUUGAGACCGGUGUCUUGAAGCCUGGAAUGGUGGUGACUUUUGCACCAACUGGACUGACAACUGAAGUCAAGUCUGUGGAGAUGCACCAUGAAUCUCUUACAGAGGCACAUCCUGGUGACAAUGUGGGAUUCAAUGUUAAGAAUGUUGCUGUUAAGGAUUUGAAGCGUGGUUAUGUUGCCUCAAACUCAAAGGAUGACCCUGCAAAGGAGGCUGCUAACUUCACAGCCCAAGUCAUCAUCAUGAACCA
rnacentral:lncRNA from 1 species